GCCGGGCGCGGUGGCGCACGCCUGUAAUCCUAGCUACUUGGGAGGCUGAGGCCGGCGGAUCGCUUGAGCUCAGGAGUUCUGGGCUGCAGUGGGCUAUGCCGAUCGGGUGUCCGCACUAAGUUCGGCAUCAAUAUGGUGAUCCCUGGGAAGCUCGGGGUCACCAGGUUGCCUAAGGAGGGGUGAACCGGCCCAGGCCGGAAACGGAGCAGGUCAAAACUCCCGUGCCGAUCAGUAGUGGGAUCGCGCCUGUGAAUAGCCACUGCAGCGUAGCCUGGGCAAGACAGUGAGACACGGUCUCUU
rnacentral:SRP_RNA from 1 species